GAACGCUGGCGGCAGGCUUAACACAUGCAAGUCGAACGGGCACUUCGGUGUCAGUGGCAGACGGGUGAGUAACGCGUGGGAACGUACCUUUUGGUUCGGGACAACUGAGGGAAACUUCAGCUAAUACCGGAUAAGCCCUAACGGGGAAAGAUUUAUCGCCGAAAGAUCGGCCCGCGUCUGAUUAGCUAGUUGGUAGGGUAAUGGCCUACCAAGGCGACGAUCAGUAGCUGGUCUGAGAGGAUGAUCAGCCACAUUGGGACUGAGACACGGCCCAAACUCCUACGGGAGGCAGCAGUGGGGAAUAUUGGACAAUGGGCGCAAGCCUGAUCCAGCCAUGCCGCGUGAGUGAUGAAGGCCCUAGGGUUGUAAAGCUCUUUUGUACGGGAAGAUAAUGACGGUACCGUAAGAAUAAGCCCCGGCUAACUUCGUGCCAGCAGCCGCGGUAAUACGAAGGGGGCUAGCGUUGCUCGGAAUCACUGGGCGUAAAGGGUGCGUAGGCGGGUUUUNAAGUCAGAGGUGAAAUCCUGGAGCUCAACUCCAGAACUGCCUUUGAUACUGAAAGUCUUGAGUAUGGGAGAGGUGAGUGGAACUGCGAGUGUAGAGGUGAAAUUCGUAGAUAUUCGCAAGAACACCAGUGGCGAAGGCGGCUCACUGGCCCAUAACUGACGCUGAGGCACGAAAGCGUGGGGAGCAAACAGGAUUAGAUACCCUGGUAGUCCACGCCGUAAACGAUGAAUGCCAGCCGUUAGUGGGUUUACUCACUAGUGGCGCAGCUAACGCUUUAAGCAUUCCGCCUGGGGAGUACGGUCGCAAGAUUAAAACUCAAAGGAAUUGACGGGGGCCCGCACAAGCGGUGGAGCAUGUGGUUUAAUUCGACGCAACGCGCAGAACCUUACCAGCCCUUGACAUGCCUAUGACCGGUACCAGAGAUGGAACCUUCCCUUCGGGGCAUAGAGCACAGGUGCUGCAUGGCUGUCGUCAGCUCGUGUCGCGAGAUGUUGGGUUAAGUCCCGCAACGAGCGCAACCCCCGUCCUUAGUUGCUACCAUUUAGUUGAGCACUCUAAGGAGACUGCCGGUGAUAAGCCGCGAGGAAGGUGGGGAUGACGUCAAGUCCUCAUGGCCCUUACGGGCUGGGCUACACACGUGCUACAAUGGCGGUGACAAUGGGAUGCAAAGGGGCGACCCCUCGCAAACCUCAAAAAGCCGUCUCAGUUCGGAUUGGGCUCUGCAACUCGAGCCCAUGAAGCUGGAAUCGCUAGUAAUCGUGGAUCAGCAUGCCACGGUGAAUACGUUCCCGGGCCUUGUACACACCGCCCGUCACACCAUGGGAGUUGGUUCUACCUGAAGGCAGUGCGCUAACCCGCAAGGGGGGCAGCUGACCACGGUAGGGUCAGCGACUGGGGUGAAGUCGUAACAAGGUAACCAAGGGCGAA
rnacentral:rRNA from 1 species